rnacentral:rRNA from 1 species
CCUACGGGGGGCUGCAGUGGGGAAUAUUGCACAAUGGGCGCAAGCCUGAUGCAGCCAUGCCGCGUGUGUGAAGAAGGCCUUCGGGUUGUAAAGCACUUUCAGCGGGGAGGAAGGCGGUGAGGUUAAUAACCUCAUCGAUUGACGUUACCCGCAGAAGAAGCACCGGCUAACUCCGUGCCAGCAGCCGCGGUAAUACGGAGGGUGCAAGCGUUAAUCGGAAUUACUGGGCGUAAAGCGCACGCAGGCGGUCUGUCAAGUCGGAUGUGAAAUCCCCGGGCUCAACCUGGGAACUGCAUUCGAAACUGGCAGGCUAGAGUCUUGUAGAGGGGGGUAGAAUUCCAGGUGUAGCGGUGAAACGCGUAGAGAUCUGGAGGAAUACCGGUGGCGAAGGCGGCCCCCUGGACAAAGACUGACGCUCAGGUGCGAAAGCGUGGGGAGCAAACAGGAUUAGAUACCCGGGUAGUC